CCUUUCUCUAAUCAGUGAAAUUAAUCUCCCCGUGAAGAAGCGGGGAUAUAUCUAUAAGACGAGAAGACCCCAUGGAGCUUCAAACCCAACUACACCCCUAACUCCUAUAACUACUGAGCCCUAAGAGUCCUGUAUCGUUGGUUUUAGGUUGGGGCGACCACGGAGUACAACAAAACCUCCACAACGAACGGGAUUACUCCCUCAUCUAAGAACUACACCUCUAAGAAUUAGUAAACUAACAUAAAAUGACCCAUUUUUGAUCAAUGAACCAAGUUACCCUGGGGAUAACAGCGCAAUCCAUUUCAAGAGCCCUUAUCGACAAAUGGGUUUACGACC
rnacentral:rRNA from 1 species